UUAACUUAAGUUUGUAUGGAGUUGGUACGUUUUCUUACGUUUGCCGCUAGGGGCGUUGUUCCAACUGCAUGCUUUGAGUUA
rnacentral:pre_miRNA from 1 species